rnacentral:piRNA from 1 species
UAUCUGAGCCUAUGGGAGCCAUUACUUUUC